CAGAUCCGAGGACGGGAGUGACGCAGGGCUGGGGCUUGUCCGGAAAACUGCUGGACACCAGGAACUCUUACGUCUUAGACAUAACUCAGGGUGGGAGAGACAGGAACCGCCAAGGCGCACAGAGGUAAAUAACUGGUCCGCGGACGGUAAGCAAGUAAAUGGCAAUGAUGGAAUUCUGUCUGCCACCAAGACCCACAGCUGGCCUCGCAGGAAAUAAUGUGUUUUUGAGCUGAUUCACCUUAAGGAUGUAAUAAGCUUCCAAAAUGCAACUGUUUCCUUAGAGCAUCAGCUAACGAACUAAGAAAAAGCAUUCAGAAAAGAGAUGGAAAAUUCAUCAGAGAAGUUCCAAAGGACCCAGUGAAAAAUUAUUGAAAAAUGGAAUGCAUGAGACCCAUUUAUUGCAGAUUCAAUCAAUUUUGAUAAAGUGACUUGGCUCCUUUUCCUACCAUCCUACAGAAAUAACAGUCUCUCUGUGUGUCUCAUUCUUUAUGUAUCUUGAAAUGAAAUAAGCGCAGGUCACCUAGCACUGAUCGUGGGAUGAAUAAUAAACAUAAAUAUGGUACUUUGGAGAAUCUAUAUAUUAAUGAAAAAGCUAUAUAUUUAUUUGAGAACAUUUUAAUGGUGAUUUUAAGUUAUAUUCAGUAAUUUAACUUCCUUUUUUAGUCUUUUGCAGACGAAGUAGGAUGAAGGGCAGCAUUUCUUAAUACUUGGGCCAAAUCACACAUCCUUUCAAGAACCUGAAAUAAAACUGUAAAACUUUUCUCUAUAAAAAGGCACAAGCUGUACUAAGAUGGAAGUUUAUAACAGUCAGUACUUACAUUUAAAAAAUCAGAAAGAUCUUAAA